GACGAACCGUGCGAACGUUGUUCGGAAUCACUGGGCUUAAAGGGCGCGUAGGCGGGCUGGCAAGUCCGUGGUGAAAUCCUCCGGCUCAACCGGGGAACGGCCUCGGAUACUGGCGGCCUCGAGGGGGAUAGGGGCGUGCGGAACUGUGGGUGGAGCGGUGAAAUGCGUUGAUAUCCACAGGAACUCCGGUGGCGAAGGCGGCACGCUGGAUCCUCUCUGACGCUGAGGCGCGAAAGCCAGGGGAGCGAACGGG
rnacentral:rRNA from 1 species